AUUUGGUGCUAAGGGCACUUGACGCAUAACUUUUUGAAUCGCUCCCAAUAAUCAUAUAGUGACUCUCCUGGAUGCUGCGUGAUACCGCAAAUUUCUUUUCUUAGACU